CUUCUAAUGUGGGCAGACACCUGAAGCCUUCUCAUGAGUGCCAGAAUGAGGUUCCCAUGCUUCUGCUUUCCUGGGAAUCGUUUGUGAGAUUUUGCAGUUGCAAAAAUAUUCUUAUUCUUAAAGGUGUUCACAAGCCUGACAAGUGCCUAAUACAGUGGUUCCCAAGGAAGUUCUCUAAUGCACAACAUGGCCAUGAGUUUCCCCUUUAUUUCCAUCAGGCUUGUGGAUCAAGCCUUGUUACAGGCACGGGGUGGUACCUGAAUUUCUACCCUGCAGUUUCCAAAGUGUUCAGGUGUCCCAACCUGAAGAUUGGAGAAGCAGAUAUCUUGUUCCAGAUGUGUCAUGAAAGACUAAACACAGAAGAAUGUCAGAACAGCCACCAUUGCCAGAUUCUGCUUCAUGUUAGGAUAUAAAGAUUGGAAAGCUGUCCUGCUCUAAAAUGUCUUUAAUCUUGUUAUAAUUACAUGUCAGAUUAAGGGGAUUAAGAAGGAGGGAAAUCAAUCUUCCACUACAACGGCAUCUCAACUUGGAAAACACAAAAACAUGGGCCUGUGGGCCUGCACACUUGGCACUUGAGUGAGGUUGCUCACAUCUUUGAGUGCAAGCAGAGGUAUGGUGACAGGAUGAAGGACUGUGAAUUGGCCUUGACUGGGAGUUCAAGCUGACUGAAAACAAUGACCUUUCAACAACAAUAAAGAUAUAUCUACAUGUAUAGCUUGUUUAGUAUAGUGCAUGUU